AAAAAUCAGCAGCCGGAAUUCAAUUGAAGAAAAAGGCAGCCGCUUGAAUUAAUCUCCAUGACUGGUUUUAUCAAUUUUUCUAUUCCCAAUUUAAUUAUGUUAGGCUAAAUUUUUAUUUGGUUGAGGGUGAAUUCAAAACCCUAAACAUGCUAUGCAAUUAAAUUUAAAUUCUAUCAUUUAAUUUAUUUAAUUGAGAUUGUUUAUGUUCUUCUAUAAUUAAUGUUCAUGGUUUAUUCUUGUUUUGUUUGAGUGGCCAAUUAGAUAGGACUUGAAUAAAUUUUAUUGCUAGAUUAAAAUUCUUGAUCCGUAAUUGUCUUGAUAUUUUAAUCAUUAGUAGCAGGUUGGAAUUAAUGAUUUCAAUUGGA
rnacentral:lncRNA from 1 species